AGCUCUGCACUUUAUUUCGAAAUUAAUUAUGGAUGUUAAGGGCAGUGAAAUUUAUUUCCCUUCAAGCGCGCAGGAUGUUUCAGAUACAAAGAAGGGAUUUUGCACGAAAUUUGGGAUCAAGGGCACAAUCAGCGCAAUCGAUUGUACCCAUAUUGGGAAUGUUUCACCCUCAAGCACAGACGCAUACAUAUCUUUAUUAUCCAUUUGUGUUUUUGUUUGUUUAUUUUUAUUAAAACAGCUGUUUGACAGCAAAAAGCUUUUUACCUCA